CCUAAGGUCAGGCGGGGCUACGUGCUGAAUUAAAGCAUAUCAAAAAGUGGAGGAAAAGAAACUAACAAGGAUUCCCUUAGUAACGGCGAGCGAAUUGGGAUAGGCCGACCAUGUGAAUCGUUCGCCUUCGGCGUUCGAAUUGUAGUCUUGAGAAGCGUCCUCAACGGCGGAACGGGCCCAAGUCCCCUGGAAGGGGGCGCCGGAGAGGGUGAGAGCCCCGUUGUGCUCGGACCUAGCGCACCACAAGGAGCUAUCGGCGAGUCGGGUUGUUUGGGAAUGCAGCCCCAAUCGGGCGGUAAAUUCCAUCCAAGGCAAAAUAUUGGCGAGAGGCCGAUAGCGAACAAGUACCGCGAGGGAAAGAUGAAAAGGACUUUGAAAAGAGAGUCAAAGAGUGCUUGAAAUUAUCGGGAAGGAAGAGGAUGGGGGCCGGCGAUGUGUCUCAUUCGGAUGUGGAACCGUUAGUGUCGAUCCGCCAAUCGACUUGGGACUUCGACUGACGCAGAUUUUGACGGUGGCCCUAGCCUGGGUUGUUGAAAUGCUCACGAAGACGUCAUCAUCACGAUUGUGGACAGAAGCACGCGUCGUUUCGGCGUGCUUCGGCACUUGCGCUCUCUUGGUGUCGGCUUGUGGGCUCCCCAUUCAACCCGUCUUGAAACACGGACCAAGGAGUCUGACAUGUGUGCGAGUCAACGGGCGAGUAAACCCAUAAGGCGCAAGGAAGCUGAUUGGUGGGAUCGUCUUGUGGGUUGCACCGCCGACCAACCCCGAUCUUCUGUGAAGGGUUCGAGUGAGAGCAUACUUGUCGGGACCCAAAAUAUUGUGAACUAUGCCUGAGCGGGCCGAAGCCAGAGGAAACUCUGGUGGAGGCCCGCAGCGAUACUAACGUGCAAAUCGUUCGUCUGACUUGGGUGUAGGGGCGAAAGACUAAUCGAACCGUCUAGUAGCUGGUACCCUCUGAAGUUUCCCUCAGGUUAGCUGGAGCCCGAGGGCGAGUUCUAUCAGGUAAAGCCAAUGAUUUUAGGCAUCGGGGGAGCAACGCCCUCGACCUAUUCCCAAAAUUUAAAUAGGUAGGACGGUGUGGCAGCUUUGUUUAGCCAUGCCAUGGAAUCGAGAGCUCCAAGUGGGCAAUUUUUGGUAAGCAGAACUGGCGAUGUGGGAUGAACCAGAAGCUGGGUUACGAUGCCCAACUGCGCGCUAACCUAGACCUCACAAAGGGUGUUGGUCGAUUAAGACAACAGGACGGUGGUCAUGGAAGUCCAAAUCCGCUAAGGAGUGUGUAACAACUCACCUACCGAAUCAACUAGCCCUGAAAAUGGAUGGCACUAAAUCGUGCGACCUAUACCCGACCGUUGGGGUAAGGGCCAGGCCCCGAUAAGUAGGAGGGUGCGGUGGUCGCUGCAAAAUUUGGGGCGCCAGCCUUGGCGGAGAGGUCGUUAGUGCAGAUCUCGGUGGUAGUAGCAAAUAUUCAAAUGAGAACUUUGAAGGCCGAAGACGGGAAAGGUUCCAUGUGAACGACAAUGUUAGGGAGUCCAAAGACGUUGGCGGGGGCCCCGGCAAGAGUUAUCUUUUCGGUUUAACAGCCUGCCCACUUUGGAAAGGGCUCAGCCGAAGGUAGGGUCCAGAGGCUAGAAGAGCAUCGCACUUCGCGUGGUGUCCGGUGCUCCCCUGGCAGCCCUUAAAUAUCCGGAGGACUGAGUGCCUUCCAUGCCCGGUCGUACUCAUAACCGCAUCAGGUCUCCAAGGUGAAGAGCCUCAGGUCGAUGGAACAAUGUAGGCAAGGGAAGUCAGCAAAAUGGAUCCAUAACCUCGGGAAAAUGAUUAGCUCUGAGGGUUGGGCACGCGGGUCCCAGUUCCGAACCCGUCGGCUGUUGGUGGACUGCUUAAGCUGCUCCCGCGGCGAGAGCGGGUCGCCGCAUGCCGGUCGGGGGAUGGAUUGGGAACAGACCCUUCGGGGCCUCUUCCUCGGGCAUCGAGCAAUCAACUCAAAACUCGUACGGACAAGGGGAAUCCGACUGUUUAAUUAAAACAAAGCAUUGUGAUGGUUCCUGUGGAUGUUGACGCAAUGUGAUUUUUGCCCAAUGCUUCGAAUGUUAAAGUGAAGAAAUUCAACCGAGCGAUGGUAAACGGCGGGAGUAACUAUGACUCUCUUAAAGUAGCCAAAUGCCUCGUCAUCUAAUUAGUGACGCGUAUGAAUGGAUUAUCGAGAUUCCCAUUGUCACUGUCUACUAACCAGUGAAACCACAGCCAAGGGAACGGGCAUGGCAGAAUCAGCGGGGUAAAAAGAUGUUGUUGACCUUGACUCUAGUCCGACUUUGUGAAAUGACUUGAGAGGUCUAGGAUAAGUGGGAGCUGGAGAUAGCGAAAGUGAAAUACCACUACUUUUAAUGUUAUUUUACUUAUUCCGUGAAUCGGAGGCGGGGCGUUGUCCCUUUUUUUGGAUCCAAGGCUGACUUCAGUUGGCCAAUCCGUGUGGAAGACAUUGUCAGGUGGGAAAUCAUUGUUCGGGCUGCACAUCUGUUAAAAGAUAACACAAGUGUCAUAAGAUGAGAUCAACGAGAACAGAAAUCUCGUGUGGAACAAAAGGGUAAAAGCUCGUUUGAUUCUGAUUUCCAGUACGAAUACGAACCGUGAAAGCAUGGCUUAUCAAUCCUUUAGUCCUUCAGAAUUUGAAGCUAGAUGUGUCAGAAAAGUUACCAUAGGGAUAACUGGCUUGUUGCAGCCAAGCGUUCAUAGCGAUGUUGCUUUUUGAUCCUUCAAUGUCGGCUCUUCCUAUCAUUGUGAAGCAGAAUUCACCAAGUGUUGGAUUGCUUACCCACCAAUAGGGAACGUGAGCUGGGUUUAGACCGUCGUGAGACAGGUUAGUUUUACCCUACUAAUGACAGUGUCACAAUAGUAAUUCAACCUAGUUCGAGAGGAACUGUUGAUUUGCACAAUUGGUCAUCACACUUGGUGGAAAAGCUAGUGGCGCGAAGCUAUCGUGUGUUGGAUUAUGAUUGAAUGCCUCUAAGUUAGAAUCUGGGCUAGAAGCGAUGCGUGUGCCCGACGUUCGUUUGCCGACCAGCAGUAGGGAGCCUUGGCCCCCAAGAGGCACAUGAGUUGGUGGACCUCGUAAGGCGGAUGAGCCUUCCUGGACACCUUGAAACGCAAUUCCUUUUGAGCGGCGGGUAAAAUCU
rnacentral:rRNA from 1 species